rnacentral:lncRNA from 1 species
GCACCUCUCUAUGGGCCUGGGCUUUGCUGCUCAUAGGACAGAGGCUGCGUACCUUCUCAGCAUCUUUGUAUUGUCCUCAGCUCAACAAUAUCCUUUUCAUUUGGAUUGUGGUGUGUGGAACUGAACUCAAUACUCCAGGUGAGGUGACCUCCACAUAAGGGAGUGGCCUUUAUAUCCUCUCUGAAUGGAAUUUCUCUUGCAUUUCCCACCAAGGUCAUCUUCCUGGCUCAUUCAACGUGCUAUUGAUCUGUAUCAAGUCAGCAGAGGCUCCUACACGGUUCAGCUUUCCUGUUCAGGGACCUGUCAGUCCAUCAGUUGGGAAGACACCUACUUUAUUGGGACCCCAAGAAAGGCAUAGUCAAACGCUCUUUGAAGAUCUGGCUGCACUCUGACUACGGCGUUGCCUUUAUUUGGCAGCUACCAAAAAAGAACGUGGUGUUAUUUUCCAUGAAGGUGGGGGUUUUUUUCAUUCAAAAGAUAUUUACUAAGUGCCAGGCAAAUGGUAGGCACUCAGUAAGUUUUGAAUGAAUGGAUGCCUUUGUACUUCCUGAAUUAUGUAGGCUUCUAUUACUCCCUCUGACUGACUGGUUUUGACAU